rnacentral:rRNA from 1 species
CGCGUAGGCGGCGGACACAGUCAGACGUGAAAUUCCUGGGCUCAACCUGGGGGCUGCGUUUGAUACAUGUCUGCUUGAGUUCGGAAGAGGGUCGUGGAAUUCCCAGUGUAGAGGUGAAAUUCGUAGAUAUUGGGAAGAACACCGGUGGCGAAGGCGGCGACCUGGUCCGAUACUGACGCUGAGGCGCGAAAGCGUGGGGAGCAAACAGGAUUAGAUACCCUGGUAGUCCACGCUGUAAACGAUGUGCGCUGGAUGUUGGGGGGCCUAGCCCUUCAGUGUCGUAGCUAACGCGAUAAGCGCACCGCCUGGGGAGUACGGCCGCAAGGUUGAA